GAUGCUUUGACUCAUUCACCUCCACGCGGUAAGUGUCGGGAAACGUUGUACAACGGCUAAGAAAUGAGA
rnacentral:ribozyme from 1 species